UGGGGAAUAUUGCACAAUGGGCGCAAGCCUGAUGCAGCCAUGCCGCGUGUGUGAAGAAGGCCUCGGGUUGUAAAGCACUUUCAGCGAGGAGGGAAGGUGGUGAACUUAAUACGUUCAUCAAUUGACGUUACUCGCAGAAGAAGCACCGGCUAACUCCGUGCCAGCAGUCGCGGUAAUACGGAGGGUGCAAGCGUUAAUCGGAAUUACUGGGCGUAAAGCGCACGCAGGCGGUUUGUUAAGUCAGAUGUGAAAUCCCCGGGCUCAACCUGGGAACUGCAUUUGAAACUGGCAAGCUAGAGUCUCGUAGAGGGGGGUAGAAUUCCAGGUGUAGCGGUGAAAUGCGUAGAGAUCUGGAGGAAUACCGGUGGCGAAGGCGGCCCCCUGGACGAAGACUGACGCUCAGGUGCG
rnacentral:rRNA from 1 species